UACGUAGGGACCAAGCGUUGUUCGGAUUUACUGGGCGUAAAGGGCGCGUAGGCGGCAUGUUAAGUCAGCUGUGAAAUCUCCGAGCUUAACUCGGAACUGUCAGCUGAUACUGAUGUGCUAGAGUGCAGAAGGGGCAAUCGGAAUUCUUGGUGUAGCGGUGAAAUGCGUAGAUAUCAAGAGGAACACCUGAGGUGAAGACGGGUUGCUGGGCUGACACUGACGCUGAGGCGCAAAAGCCAGGGGAGCAAACGGG
rnacentral:rRNA from 1 species